GCAUCAGUAGCUCAGCGCCAGAGCGC
rnacentral:tRNA from 2 species